CCUACGGGUGGCAGCAGUGGGGAAUAUUGGACAAUGGGCUUACCCCUGAUCCAGCGACGCCGCGUGAGGGAAGAAUGCCCUCUGGAUUGUAAACCCCAUUAGCAGGGGAGCAAAGCCGACUACGUGUAGCCGGACUGCGAGUACCUGAAGAAAAAGCAUCGGCUAACUCCGUGCCAGCAGCCGCGUUAAUACGGGGUAUGCGGGCGUUAUCGGGAGUGAUUGGGUUGAAAGGGUGCGUAGGCGGAAUGCCAAGUCAGCGGGAAAAUCGCGGGGCCAAACCUCGCUCCGCCGUUGAAACUGGCGGUCUUGAGUGGACGAGAAGUAUGCGGAAUGCGUGGUGUAGCGGUGAAAUGCAUAGAUAUCACGCAGAACUCCGAUGGCGAAGGCAGCAUACCGG
rnacentral:rRNA from 1 species